UGGGGAAUAUUGGACAAUGGGCGCAAGCCUGAUCCAGCCAUGCCGCGUGAGUGAUGAAGGCCCUAGGGUUGUAAAGCUCUUUUGUGCGGGAAGAUAAUGACUGUACCGCAAGAAUAAGCCCCGGCUAACUUCGUGCC
rnacentral:rRNA from 1 species